GAUGAACGCUGGCUACAGGCUUAACACAUGCAAGUCGAGGGGAAACGACGGGGAAGCUUGCUUCCCCGGGCGUCGACCGGCGCACGGGUGAGUAACGCGUAUCCAACCUGCCUCUGACUGAGGGAUAACCCGUCGAAAGUCGGCCUAAUACCUCAUGGUAUCGUCUGCGGGCAUCCAACGACGAUUAAAGAUUUCAUCGGUCAGGGAUGGGGAUGCGUCUGAUUAGCUUGUUGGCGGGGUAACGGCCCACCAAGGCUACGAUCAGUAGGGGUUCUGAGAGGAGGGUCCCCCAAUUUGGAACUGGGAACCGGCCCAAACCCCUCGGGGAGGCGGCAGUGGGGAAUAUUGGUCAAUGGGGGAGAGCCGAAACCGGCCAAGUGGCGGGAAGGAAGCGGGCCCUAUGGGUUGUAAACUGUUUUUAUGGGGGGAAAAAGUGGGGGACGUGCCCCUCAUGGCGGGUACCGCAUGAAGAAGGACCGGCUAAUUCCG
rnacentral:rRNA from 1 species